UACAGAGGUCUCAAGCGUUGUUCGGAUUCAUUGGCGUAAAGGGCGCGUAGGCGGCCAGCACAAGUCAGUUGUGAAUCUCCGAGCUUAACUCGGAACGGUCAACUGAUACUGUGCGGGCUAGAGUGCGGGAAGGGGCAACUGGAAUUCUUGGUGUAGCGGUGAAAUGCGUAGAUAUCAAGAGGGAACACCUGCGGCGAAGGCGGGUUGCUGGCCGACACUGACGCUGGAGGCGCGAAAGCCAGGGGAGGCGAAACGGG
rnacentral:rRNA from 1 species